GUCACUCAUUGAUUAAAAGCCAAUGAGAAAAAGUGCAUUUUUAGACAAGAUUUAAAAACAGGCAGAGACUGAGCCUGUCUGACAUCUAAAGGCAAGUGGUUCCACAGCUAAGGAGAUUGCAGAAACUACUAAAAUUGGGUUAAGAACUGUUCAGCGCAUUAAUAAACAUAACAUGUGCACACUUGAAAACCCUCGACCUGACUUAUCAGUGCAUGUCAAAGUUUUUGGACGGCCAGAAGGAUGACCAACUGAUGACAAUGCCCUGCAGCCAGUGUGGCCGAGGGUAAAAA